GUUAGUCAUUGCCUCCAAUUGGGGACCCUAUUUAAGUUUAGUUUGUAGGCCCCAAGGCGUGGUUCAUUUUGGUUUUGUUUAUCCUGUGUAAGGAAUACCCACGUCACUGGUUGCUGCUUUUUGUUUUGUUGGAGUCCUGCAUUCUUUAUUUUGUAUUAAAUGGAUUACCUUACCUACCUCUACUCUGCGCCUGUGUCCUCUUCAUCCCACGACCGUGACAACAAUGUUGAAUUUUUUUUUUGUAUAUGACUGUUCUACUAUUUCUAUAUGUAACAAAGUGUGUAAUCAGCCAUUUACUGUAAUUAUUUAACAGAAUCAAAACAACUUCCUUCUGCCCAACCCCUGGGCUUGAACUUUAAAAAAGCCACUGACCAAUCUGAAGAUUCAGUCCAGUUCCAUGCCCCUCCAACCCCCAUGACCACUUCUGGUCACCAAUCUGGAGGAGGAUAUAGGUUUCUUCACAGACCCGACAUCUCAGGGCAAGUACAGUGCAAAUUCAAGUCAAAAUGGCAAUGGUUUCCUCCUCCAACACAUAGUAAACCCUUUUUCUUUCAUUAAAACAGAUUCAGUCCAGUUCCAUGCCCCUCCAACCCCCAUGACCACUUCAGGUCACCAAUCUGGAGCAGGCUAUGGAUGCUCAUCAUUGGGGCCUGCUUUUCAGCAUCCUGAAAACUUCUACAGAUUAAUACUGCAGCAUCUGAGGGAGUUGGCCGAAGAACUGAGGGAUGUGAAACAGCAGGUUUCUUUAAACACAGCCAUAUUACAGAGCCUGACAGCUGGAACCAACGUGGACAUGUCCAUCCCACCAGACGUCAUCCUUCCUCUGGAGGAUAGAAGCAUGCUGGAGGACGUUGAGAGAGGGCUUGGACAAAAUCUGGAAUUAACAGAGAAAUUGGUUGCUUACUUAGCCUCAAGAGGAGGCAGGAACCUAAAGGACUCCGUAAAAAGAAUAUUUUAGAGCCUUUUUACUAACAACCUCGCCAUCGGGAUGAACUGGACAGGGUCGGGACAGAAGGUGUCCUUCAACAACCUCCAUCCACAGCUAGACGUCUCAAGGCGCAGUCACUUCCGGCAUCACCGGUGGCCAUCUUGUCACAGGCAGGCUUCCUGUCGGGCUCUGUGGUACCUAAUAUAAGGUUCAGCCAGGACCACUUGGAGCUUCUCUUCAACGCCAUCAGAGUAUCUGCCAGUUCAAGUACAUCUUUAUGAUGUAAAGCUGAUGGCCCAGUGUGGGGUUGUUAAACCAUGCAGAGAUAAUGUGAUGGCACAGGAUGACACAGAGUCCCUACCAGCUGUCAUCGACACCUCUACAAGCCUGUCAGCUGUAGAUGUGUCCUCUGCAGCAGGAGGAGAAGAUCUUCCAUCCCCGUUUGCUGACAUUCCUGCCCUAGUACAUGAUCACAGCUACCUUCCCGUCCACUUCGAUGGUCUUGUGGACAACGCUCUCAUGUACAUUUCAGGCUCUAAAGAAACUGUCGUGUGAUGUCUGCCGUGCCAGCCUUGUGACAUUCUGCAUCUGCCAUCAAGGACCAGAGCUACCACCUGCUGAAUUAAAAAAACAAUGGAGGUCUGGUGAUUCCAUCAGAGGGAACCGUGAGUGUCAUCAGGGCAGCAGAGUGGGUCAUUCGGCAGUCAUCAGGCAGUACCAGACGAUCACAGCCCAUCAAACUGCUUGAGGUUGUUUACAUUAUCUGAAAAAGGAUCGGUUCAGAGGUUGUUUGUGUUGGGAUAGACAGUAUGGGAUAGACAUCCACCACCAUAGGUUGUUAAAAAUAAUUCUGUCCCUGUUUUUUAAGUUAAGGCUGCAUCACAUCGCCAGAAUUACAAUCCUCAGCUUACAGAGCAACAACAUGCAACAGAAACUUAAUAAAACUGUCCUUUUCAUAGGGCAUUAGCCCAAGGUAUGUGUUUUCAAGGUACUGUCCUCUUUUACUUCAACAGUAGUGUAGUGCUAUCUACAGCAUUUAUUUAUUUGUAUAUAU
ensembl:lncRNA